rnacentral:rRNA from 1 species
CUACUCCUACKGGAGGCAGCAGUAGGGAAUCUUCCGCAAUGGMCGAAAGUCYGACGGAGCAMCGCCGCGUGAGUGAUGAAGGCUUUCGGGUCGUAAAACUCUGUUGUUAGGGAAGAACAAGUGCUMGUUGAAUAAGCUGGCACCUGACGACCAC